UGAAAACCUCUGCCAUGGUAUAGAUGACUA
rnacentral:piRNA from 1 species